rnacentral:tRNA from 1 species
AUAGUUCAGUGGUAGAGCUCUUGCCUAGCAAGCAUGAGGCCCUGGGUUCCAUUCCCAGU